GAUGAACGCUAGCGGGAGGCCUAACACAUGCAAGCCGAGCGGUAGAGUUUCUUCGGAAACUUGAGAGCGGCGCACGGGUGCGUAACACGUGUGCAACCUACCUUUAUCUGGGGGAUAGCCUUUCGAAAGGAAGAUUAAUACCCCAUAAUAUAAUGAUUGGCAUCAAUUAUUAUUGAAAACUCCGGUGGAUAGAGAUGGGCACGCGCAAGAUUAGAUAGUUGGUGAGGUAACGGCUCACCAAGUCAAUGAUCUUUAGGGGUCCUGAGAGGGAGAUCCCCCAAACUGGUACUGAGACACGGACCAGACUACUACGGGAGGCAGCAGUGAGGAAUAUUGGACAAUGGGUGAGAGCCUGAUCCAGCCAUCCCGCGUGAAGGAUGACGGUCCUAUGGAUUGUAAACUUCUUUUGUACAGGGAUAAACCUACCCUCGUGAGGGUAGCUGAAGGUACUGUAAGAAUAAGCACCGGCUAACUCCGUG
rnacentral:rRNA from 1 species